rnacentral:rRNA from 1 species
GAUGAACGCUGGCGGUAUGCUUAACACAUGCAAGUCGAACGGACUCUUCGGAGUUAGUGGCGGACGGGUGAGUAACGCGUGAGAAUCUGGCUUUGGGUUCGGGACAACCACUGGAAACGGUGGCUAAUACCGGAUGUGCCGAGAGGUAAAAGAGAAAUUGCCUGAAGAUGAGCUCGCGUCUGAUUAGCUAGUUGGUGAGGUAAAGGCUCACCAAGGCAGCGAUCAGUAGCUGGUCUGAGAGGAUGACCAGCCACACUGGGACUGAGACACGGCCCAGACUCCUACGGGAGGCAGCAGUGGGGAAUUUUCCGCAAUGGGCGAAAGCCUGACGGAGCAAUACCGCGUGAGGGAAGAAGGCUCUUGGGUUGUAAACCUCUUUUCUUAGGGAAGAACAAAAUGACGGUACCUGAGGAAUCAGCAUCGGCUAACUCCGUG